rnacentral:misc_RNA from 1 species
CCUCCUUAUACGAUUUAGAACUUAUUUGUUCGUAGUGUCCACACAGAUGAUUGUUAGUUAGUUUUACCCUUUGGGUUUAACUGAUUAAUAUGCUCUUUAAAAAUUUGGAAAAGCUGAUAAUAAAAUUCGUAUGAAUAACACUGUUAUUUGUACAGAGUUUUCAAAAGUAAAAAAGAAUGAUAGCAGUAUCAUUCAGUGCCAAUUUAAUCAUUUAUGAUUAAUUGGUAUCUACUUUAGUACUCAAUAUUAACUUCUGGCGAAGUUAAACUGUCACUAACAAAGACCCGUUUGGGUUGUAUGGUUAAGUGAUUAAGCGUACACGGUGGAUGC